rnacentral:rRNA from 1 species
UCGAGCGNGUCUUCACUUNNUUACUUUUGAAGAUCNNCGGCGGACGGGUGAGUAACACGUGGGCAACCUGCCUGUAAGACUGGGAUAACUUCGGGAAACCGGAGCUAAUACCGGAUAAUCCUUUCCCUCACAUGAGGGAAAGCUGAAAGACGGUUUCGGCUGUCACUUACAGAUGGGCCCGCGGCGCAUUAGCUAGUUGGUGAGGUAACGGCUCACCAAGGCAACNAUGCGUANCCGACCUGAGAGGGUGAUCGGCCACACUGGGACUGAGACACGG